rnacentral:rRNA from 1 species
ACCGCAUACGCCCUUCGGGGGAAAGAUUUAUCGGAGAAGGAUCGGCCCGCGUUAGAUUAGAUAGUUGGUGGGUAACGGCCUACCAAGUCUACGAUCUAUAGCUGGUUUUUAGAGGAUGAUCAGCAACACUGGGACUGAGACACGGCCCAGACUCCUACGGGAGGCAGCAGUGGGGAAUCUUAGACAAUGGGCGCAAGCCUGAUCUAGCCAUGCCGCGUGUGUGAUGAAGGUCUUAGGAUCGUAAAGCACUUUCGCCAGGGAUGAUAAUGACAGUACCUGGUAAAGAAACCCCGGCUAACUCCGUG